AUGGGUUCUCACAGCACCAUCAACCUCUUUUCUAGUGCUUUUCUUGUAGGUAUGUACACAAAGUCUGUUUCCCAGCUCCCCUCAACACUCUAUGGAGGAAGAGACUGCUUCUAUUCCCCAAUACUGGACCGUGGCCCUUCAUAUUCAUCCACGGAGCUGGAACAGUGGUUAACCCUUGGGAUGGUGAGAGUGUGUGGGACUGGCCAGGGGGGCUGCGUGGGCCCGACCUUCCAAAGUGAGAACCGAUGCCUUAUAUUCAAAGGGCUUAUCAUGCACAUCCCACUUGCCAGCAACAGGAUCACAUCUCACGUGGGGGCUGCCUGUCUUUGGGGAAGAGGUGGAGUGCUGGUAUGAAUCAUGCUGUCACCCGUGCAGAUGGAGAAAUGCCACUCGCCCUGAAUUUACGGGUCUGAGGACUCUUUCCUGCGCUGCAUAUGUCAAGUCACAACUGCAUGCUCAUGUCUUUGAACUCUUGUUCCAGAGAGGGGGAAAAAAAAACCUCUGAAGAUGAAAAUUUUCUCACUUUCUUGUCUUUCAGACUGCAGCUAUUUUUCAAGAUACGUUCUUUAUACCCUAAAACAUAAAAUCCCUGGUUUUGCCUUCUUCUCGUGACAAAGAAGGUAGGAAAGAGGGCGUGUUAACAGAGGUGGAAAUGAAACAAGCCUUUUCACAGACUGCUUAAAUGAAGAUUUACCUAACAUUUAGCAGAUGCGCUGAGAGUGCUAAAAGGUUCUGGAGCGUCCCCCAUGGCAUUAGGUAUGAAGACGAAGGUAUUUAGGACUCUGUGUCCCCUGACCUUGCUGAAACUUAGUCUUGAAUACAAAGAGGCAAAGUAGGCCAUGCAAUCAUAGAAUCUGGCAUCUUCUCUAGGAAGGGUCAGAGCUCUAAAAAAAUAAUUUUUACUAGUAAAGUGCUCAGCCAGUGAAAGUCUAUUUUCUUCAGAGAAAAUGGUUCUUAAAUAUUUUAAAAGAUCUAAUUUCUCCACAGAUUCCCAGAAAUGUAGAUGCUAAAUUGAAAAAUGGAAAGAGUUGAAUUGACUUUGGGCACGAUAGCACUUAUGAGUACCAGUUAUUCUUCUCUAAGUUAUCUUUGAAACACAGAUUAUUUCACAAACGAUUCAAUUUCCUGACCCCCAGCUGCAGUGGUUUCAAAUCAUCUAUGGAAAAUCAUUGAUAUUUCUUGCUCAGAAGUUCAAUGUUGCCCAUAAUUUAUCUCCAAAUCAUCUUUCUGGCCAUAUCCCUUUUUCUAACCUUCAAGGUAUCCUACAUUUUCGCCCAGACUAGUCACCUAUCAUUUUGUUUAAAACUAUUCAAACUCUCUCACACACACUUGCCUUUUAUAUCUAGUGUUUCCCAAGCUUGGAAUAAUCUUCCAGGUAUUGAAAUAUUUUUUCAAUUUUUAAGUCUCUACUGAAAUACUUCUUUCUUCACAACAUUGCUCUUGAAUUCCCAAGUGGAAUAUUCAUCCUGUAUUUAAUAUUUAACAGUUCAUUAUUUAUACUCUUAUUGAAUAUUACAUUCUGUUCUGCUUAGAAGUUUUGAAGCAGAUGUCAUCUCUCCUUUUCCUGAAAAUAAAUGUUUUAAUGAAGCAGGUUGAACUUAUUCA
ensembl:lncRNA